rnacentral:misc_RNA from 1 species
GAUGAAGAACGCAGCGAAAUGCGAUAAGUAGUGUGAAUUGCAGAAUUCAGUGAAUCAUCGAAUCUUUGAACGCACAUUGCGCCCCUUGGUAUUCCAUGGGGCAUGCCUGUUCGAGCGUCAUUUGUACCUUCAAGCUCUGCUUGGUGUUGGGUGUUUGUCUCGCCUCUGCGUGUAGACUCGCCUCAAAACAAUUGGCAGCCGGCGUAUUGAUUUCGGAGCGCAGUACAUCUCGCGCUUGCACUCAUAACGACGACGUCCAAAAGUACAUUUUUACACUCUUGACCUCGGAUCAGGUAGGGAUACCCGCUGAACUUAAGCAUAUCAAUAAGCGGAGGA